rnacentral:tRNA from 1 species
UCCUUGGUGGUCCAACGGCUAAGACUCCACUCCCAAUACAGGGGGCCCAGGUUCGACUCCUGGUCAGGGAA